UAUUUUAAUAGCUUAUAAAGAGCAUAAUAUUGAAGAUAUUAAGGAAAUAAUUUUAUUUUAAAAUAU
rnacentral:tRNA from 1 species